CACGUGCAUGCGAGCGAAUCGAAAGUGAAACUCGACUGCACGUUUUUAUUCGCGCACGCAAUGCACGCGGGGUCGAGUCGGUAAGAAAUAAAAUUAUCCUGACAAAAAUACGUACCAAUCGAUCUGACUAUCUCUGUCGUGUAACGAUAAGAGGGACAAUAUGCGGGACUAACUGGCUCAUCGAUUACCCUAAGCUUAAUGUUCUCAGUUUCCAUACAUUAGUAUAAAUAACGAGCGCACAAUGGAAAUUAUAAUUGCCGGUGAUUCCGUGAUAACGUAAAUUUACAUGGUAUCGAGGCGAGCCAUCGGGAGCGCAUUAAUCGGGUUCGUUUUAAUUCACGCUUUUCAUUCAUCGAAACGUGAACGCGUUACACGAGAAUAGGUAAGGACCGAGCUAUUUCCGGUGUUGAAUGAAUAUACCGCGGAACCUUGAAAGCUUCUUUAACUUUACCGAACUCGCGAGGGUGUAUUGCGAAGUCGAAAGGGGUUGACGAACACAUAGUUCCCAAGUUGGAUAAACGUCCCCUUCUACAUAUAGAUUAUCCCGCGAAAAGUACAUAACUAUGUCGCGAUAAGUUACACUCUCUUCGACCCAGUUUCCCCUUCCCACGUGUUACAUGAUCAAUGAAUUCUCAGUCCAGUUAUUAUUAGUAUCAAGCUUGACAGACUAAAUGCACGUGAAACCCAUUAUGUUUUUAACAUCAGAAAUAUGUGCGAAUGAUUCCAAGGACAGCCGGUCAUCCUGUCACGCUUUCCUGUCACAGCUAGCCAACGUUCUGUUACGACUCGUCGAUUAACGAUAAUUGUACAGUUAGUGUUUCAGUGGCUCAAAGCGUGUACACUGUUCGUCUCUGUUUCACUGUUGCUGCAGCCCGGGCGUUGAUUACUGGGCGGCAGAAGCGACGUCGGCUAAUAGCCCCACUAACUACCAGGAGCCCUGAUUGUUAGGUUACGAUCACGGUCUUUGAAACUCGCCCCACGCAUAAUAACUACCUACUAGCGACGGGGAUGAACCACCGUCGUCCUCAGAAAGUCACGCAUCGAGUUCAAAAGUUUUUAAUCAACGUCCGAAACAGACACGAUUCCUGUCCUGACAAUAAAAUAUAUACAUGGAGCAACAAGUAUUUAGAACGAGCUGCUACUUGAAAUGUUUACUACGAACACAUCUAUACGAGACGAACAGGGAAGUGCAAUCAGCAGUCGCGAGCGGAGAAAGGUGAACACGAGGAAGUUUCCGCGGAUCCUUUGUUUCCCGGAAGUUUAGGAUUCAAACUACGGUGAUCCGACGCGACGGGGAGGAAGAAUGACUGGCGAAGUUAUAUGACGGUCGAAACCGCAGCGGCCAGGAAAGGGGACAAGUUCAAGUGGCAAGGUCAAGUCCCUCACCACCCACGAGAAGAUUUAUAGCUUCCAUGCGGCGCGUUGCAAAAUGACCCAGUUUCGAGAAAACAAAAAAAAAAAACAAAUCCAGCUACGUGCAACGCGUGUCCCGCGUCUGUGUCGAACGCAGCCGCGACGAUUUAUUUCCAACGCAACGAAUUGCUCUCUGAAUUUCGUAACCGGUUCCGAUUCACGGUUUUGCGAAAAGCGUAUAAGAA